rnacentral:lncRNA from 1 species
UAUUUUAGAGUAAAAAAUAGAGUAAGCCAUUGGAGAUGGUCUAAGCCCUAAACUCUAAUCACUAAACCCUCAUCCAACACCCUAAACCCAAAUAUAAACCCUAAAUCCAAAUAGAAUGUAAAAAAAUAAAUAACAUAGAACAUAUUAGUGGAACUCAAAUGGAAUAGAACACAAUAACAAAAAACUGUUCAUCUUCUUCCACAUGCGACAUGAAUACUAAACCCUAAACUCUAAUCACUAAACCCUCAUCCAAAUAUAAACCCUAAACCCAAAUAUAAACCUUAAACCCAAAUAUAAACCCUAAAACCAAAUAGAAUGUAAAAAAAUAAAUGACAUAGAACAUAUUGGUGGAACUCAAAUGGAAUAGAACACAAUAACAAAAAACUGUUCAUCUUCUUCCACACUUGACUUGAAUUUACUUCAAAUUCAUAUACAUACAUGUUUCGGAGUCCUCGUGACUGUCGCUUUUAGAAUCCGAGAAGCCUCUUCUUUUUGUCACCGAUUAAACCUCCUAAACCGGCCUUCUCCUCCGCAAAACUUCUCCGGGAACACAGACCGUAACGUCUUCAUCGUUCAAAUCUGCGGAAGAAUCUAUUCACUUUUCCAAAUAUAAGCAAU